UGGAGAGUUUGAUCCUGGCUCAGAACGAACGCUGGCGGCAGGCUUAACACAUGCAAGUCGAGCGCCCCGCAAGGGGAGCGGCAGACGGGUGAGUAACGCGUGGGAAUCUACCUUUUGCUACGGAAUAACUCAGGGAAACUUGUGCUAAUACCGUAUGUGCCCUUCGGGGGAAAGAUUUAUCGGCAAAGGAUGAGCCCGCGUUGGAUUAGCUAGUUGGUGAGGUAAAGGCUCACCAAGGCGACGAUCCAUAGCUGGUCUGAGAGGAUGAUCAGCCACACUGGGACUGAGACACGGCCCAGACUCCUACGGGAGGCAGCAGUGGGGAAUAUUGGACAAUGGGCGCAAGCCUGAUCCAGCCAUGCCGCGUGAGUGAUGAAGGUCUUAGGAUUGUAAAGCUCUUUCACCGGUGAAGAUAAUGACGGUAACCGGAGAAGAAGCCCCGGCUAACUUCGUGCCAGCAGCCGCGGU
rnacentral:rRNA from 4 species